AAAGAACAGACAACAACCGUCACAAUUCCCGCAAACUACGAUGUUUUUUCGUCCUAAAUAUGAAGGAUUUGAUGUCUAAAGUAAGGAUUUUUUUCAAGACUGGACUUUCAAUCAAAGCAAGAAGUCAUGAAUAAUGGGAGACAAACGCCAGAGCUGCCAGGUUUGAUUCAAACGCGCUCGGUCCGAGCCGAGGACAGAAAAUAACGCCUUCAUUUCAAAAGGAUUGGUACACUGGAAAAGAACGACUUUGUGGUUGUGCUACAAAAAAAAAACUUUAUUGCUUUCCCUGCCUUUUAUUCUCCACGAGUGACCGUGUUUGGACCAAAGUGUGAUAUACUUGUGACAACUUGUCCAGGGUGUACCCUGCCUUCCGCCCGAAUGCAGCUGAGAUAGGCUCCAAACACCCCGGGAGGGACAAGCGGUAGGAAAUGGAUGAGAUGGAUCCGAAAAAGCUGCCGAGAAGCCUCGAAAAAACAUGAACGUUCAUCUGCCCACAUUCAAAGUCAGAUUUCUUUCAAAAUGUUUGGAAUAUCAAAUAAUGAUCUGGCUCUAAAUGAGACUAAAUAUCAGCAUCCACAAUAACAAUGCAAAGGAACAUGGGUGUACCGAAUGCAGCUGAGAUGGGCUCCAGCGACCCCCAAAGGGACAAGCGGUAGAAAAUGGAUGGAUGGAUGGACUUUUUAAAACUCAAAAGAGAAAAUGGAGGACUUCAACAACAAAGUCAUAGAGAUCUUCAUCCCGAAGGAAAGGCGAAUGAACUUCAUUUACAAGUAAAGCUGAGACGAGGGAGGGCCUUUGUGUGGCUCCGUGGAAUGCGGUGCGCUUGGCAUUUUUCAGCGAAAGGGCAUCUUUCUGGAAGCCGCCGCCGCCACAAGGAGGGAGCGGAGGGAGAUGUGGAGAGCAGUGAGCAGCAGCGGUGGCCAUGCCCAGGAAUCAUUUUUGGUGAUUUAACCCCCAAUUCCAACCCUUGACGCUGAUUGCCAAGCAAUGAGGUAAUGGGUCACAUUUGUAUAGUCUUUG